rnacentral:rRNA from 1 species
CGCCUCUUGUAAACAUAUAAGAGGUCCAGCCUGCCCAGUGACUGAGUUUAACGGCCGCGGUAUCCUAACCGUGCGAAGGUAGCGUAAUCACUUGUUCUUUAAAUGAGGACUAGUAUGAAUGGCAUCACGAGGGUUAUACUGUCUCCUUUUUCCAAUCAAUGAAACUGAUCCCCCCGUGAAGAAGCGGGGAUAUAAUUAUAAGACGAGAAGACCCUAUGGAGCUUUAAACUAUGUAACACUGGCUUAUCAAACUUCUAUAUUUCAGAAUCGCUAUAAUUACUCUAGCCACCCUGUUUACUAGUUUUAGGUUGGGGUGACCACGGAGCAAAAAUUAACCUCCAUGAUGAACGGAACCAUUCCUGAGCCAAAAGCUACAACUUUAAGCACUAACAAAUUAAUAUUAAUUGACCCAAUAUUUUGAUCAACGAACCAA